AUUUGUCAUGCAUCUGCUGAUGCACGAUAAAGUGCCAUUGGCUUUUUUGAUGGCUUCGUCACACUGCCGACUCAUGUUCAUCUUGGAGUCCACUAGGACUCCAAGAUCCCUUUCCAAUUCCAUGCCACCCAGCAGGUCAUUCCCUAGGCUGUAGGUGUGCUGGACAUUUUUCCUCCCUAGGUGCAGCACUUUGCAUUUCUCCUUGUUGAACUGCAUUCUGUUGUUUUCUGCCCACUUGUCCAACCUGUCCAGAUCUGCUUGCAGCUGUUCCCUGCCCUCCGGCGUGUCUACAUCUCCCCAUAUCUUUGUGUCAUCUGCCAACUUGGACAGAGUACAUUUGACUCCCUCUUUCAAGUCACUGAUGAAGACAUUAAAGAGUAUCGGUCCAAGGACCGAACCCUGCGGGACCCCACUGCCCACCCCCUUCCAGGUCGAAACCGACCCAUCCACCACGACUCUCUGGGUGCGACCCUCCAGCCAAUUCGCCACCCACCGGACUGUGUAGUCAUCCAAGUCACAGCCUCUUAACUUGUUCACCAGUAUGGUGUGGGAUACCGUAUCGAAGGCCUUCCUGAAGUCUAAGUAUACAACAUCCACCCCUCCUCCUGUGUCCAGGCAUUUCGUAACCUGGUCAUAAAAAGAAACUAGAUUGGUCAGGCACGAUCUGCCUGCCACGAACCCGUGCUGAUUUCCCUUCAGCAUAAUUUGUCCUGCCGGGCUCUCGCAAAUGUGAGCCUUGAUAAUUUUUUCAAAGACUUUGCCAAGGAUGGAGGUGAUACUGACUGGCCUAAAGUUGCCCGGGUCCUCCUUCCUCCCCUUUUUGAAAAUGGGGACCACGUUAGCCCUUUUCCAGUCCUCCAGGACUUGGCCCGUGCGCCACAAGCGUUCAAAUAUUCCCGCCAGUGGCUCUGCAAUGAUGUCGGCCAGUGCCUUCAGCACCCUCGGAUGGAGCUCAUCCGGACCUGCCGACUUAAAGGCAUCCAGUUCUUCCAAGUGACUCUGCACCGUCUCAGGGUCUACGCAUGGAAGUCUGGCGCCUUGCUGCUGCCUCUCUACAACCCCAGUGAGAGACUUGUCGUGCCCCUCACUUAGGAACACUGAGGCAAAGAACUUGUUGAGGAGUUCAGCCUUGUCCCCCCUGUCUGUCACCAAUUGUUUCUGCCCAUUUGUUUUUCCACAAUCAUUCUUUCAAGCAGGCUACGUAAAACGCUACCCUCUUACAGGAAAAAGUGUAUGAAAUUAUAUACACUUCACAUGCCUGCCUAUACCCAUGGUCAGAGGACAAGUUUUGGUUACAAAAACAGCUUUGUAUUUCUGUUCUGUCUAGCCAACUUGCAGUUCAUGUGGUCAAUUACAAAAGCUGUCUGAAUUGAGAGGUCAUUUCUCACACUGAUAGUAAAAGGACUUAACUGGGACUACAUGAACAUGAAAUUAGUACUAAGUAAAAUGUUUUAUCAACAAUUAUAUGCAGCAAAUGGUUUUGGAACCAUCUCAUUUUUUAUGGUGAAUGAAUAAUUAAAGUAGCUCAUAGUAAGCACAUCUAAGAAGUCUGACUUCUAAAAGGUGACAGAGUGAAUUCAUGUUCUUGUAAGCAAUGCUGGAUCCAAUUCUUUGCCUCAGGGAAGUAAGGAAAUUUUGCAGAAUGGUUUGUGCUUGUAUGAAUGAUGGAACUGAUAAUCUUAUUUAUUCUGAGCAUAUAGCACCUUUUAUUGCAAAGAAUUCCAGAUGCUUCAGAAUCUAAAUCAAUAAAGGAAUUCCAGAGCAUAUAAAAGUAUCAUGGCAUUAGUCCAAAGUGCUGUCUUUUACAAUAGGAUUAUAGGAUAUAGUGAUCCAUUUUAUUUAGGAACAUUAGAAAUGUAGCCAUUUAAGCACUGCCAGUGAAUGAAGGGGACAGAGGAGUGAAUGUAACCAAGGAUUUAGUAAGAGCAUUAUCAGAUCUGCCAACACAUAGAAAAGAGCUUGGUAUCUCUGCUCUUCCAUUAAAGACUCAGUUUUUUAGAUUUUUUCUUAAUCUAAAAAAAGCUGUAUAGAAUUCAUCUGCCUUUACACAGAGGUCUAGUCUGAUUUCAAGUCUAGGAAAGAAGCUGGCAAGACACCUUGUGGCUGAAAAUUUAACAUCUCUCACAAAUGUAAUAAGUACUUCAUAUUUGAUGCUUAGACCACUAAUCACUGUGGGUAAAACUCAGACAAACAUCAUGUAUCAACUGGUAGCCUGCACCAUAACAUUGGUGAAGAACAGCUUCCUCUGACUGCUGGUAGAUCCUGUUAGUAUCAAUGAGGAAGUUGUUUCCUCAUCCUGAAAGUAGAUGCUGCCUUUGGCAAAUUGGCCAAGUGGGUCUCUAUGAAGGUAAAGGUUUAGGAAGGCUGCUGUUCUUGUUUUGCUUUAGGGGUGUGAAAUCCAAGAUAUCAUACAGGGGACACUUCUGGCAUUUGGAGAAAAAUCAACUAAUGUUUCUUGUGUUCCCUCCUGAGGGAUAAAGAGCUUGACCAAAUAUCCAAUGUCAGGAUGCUGCAACAAGAUGAUAGUUACUGAAUAGAAGCAUUGAUGAAGUAGAUGUGGUUCUGUUGGGCUAGCCAUGUCCCAUGCAUGAGCAACAAACACAGCAUUUCAGACCUACUGAAGUUCCAUCUUGUUCAGAGCAGGAUGCUGACUCCUGGGAACUGUUGGUUGGAAAUAGACAGCAAGGACAUGAGAAGAUCAGAGGGUGUUGAUUACUCUGAGCAGCAACAUAAUAUUGUUCCUGAAGAAAAGCGUGCUAGAGUUAAGGAGCAAAAGCAGCAGAAAUUACAGACCUUACAUCUGCCACAGGUGCUGUGAAUAAUUAACAAGAUGCUGAAGAGACGCCUUUUGACAAUAAGGGAUUGCAAUUUCAGAAAUUCUCCUGCCUACUCAAAAGAAGCUCUGGAGGCAGAUAAAAACUACACUUAGGCCACCCCAGUGCAAUCUACACACAUUAUGGACCUCAACACUUUAGUUUUUGACAGUAGCAUAACUAGGGAUGGGUGGGAGGAGCACUGGAAUUGCCAUCCAUCCCCAUGCCUUAGCAGCAAAAGCAGCCCUAUGAUUUACAGUUUCAUAGAUUGUAAGGCCAGAAGGGACUGUUUGGGUAGCUUGUCAUAUUUUAUGCUUUAAAGUUGCACCUGUUUAUAGAGUGGUAAAUUAUAGCAUUGUUUAAAGUUUUCUUUACAUUCAGCCUAAAGUUCUGUAUAGUCUCAUUGUUCUGAACUUGUCAUUUUGCUGGCAUUUGCAAUAUCAGCUGGCCUUGUUUCUUGCAAGUAGCUUAUGGCCUUGAGUUUGCUUGCAUGAUGUUUCUUUCCUUUUUCUAUCACUGAGGUUUUCUAACACAACAUAGUAAUAGUUGUGUUACUAGCUCAAAUUAACUGAACUUGGCCCUAAUCAGCUGAAUGAGAGGGAUUAAAUGAUUGGAUAUGUUAAUGAAAGGUGAUAAAGGAGUCCAAUGGACAAUAUUUAAACUAAGACACUAGAAAAAGGCCAAAUUAAGAGGUGUGCUUGUAAUGGGGAUGUUGAACAAAAGAAUACAGGAUAAAAUAUGAACAAUAUGCUGACUGCAGGUAGACCAAUCCAAAAGCAAGGAGUCAAAGAAGUCAAGUUAAAGAAAAGCAUAAAAGGGGGAAGCAAGAAAGUUAAGUGUCGUUGUCGUCAUCGUCAUUAUUUACAUCAUGAAUCCAGCUUUCAGCACCUGUCUGGAUCAUCCCAGCCAACGACGCACCCUUUGCUUCAAGAACUGAGUGGCCAUCUUUUCUGAGAGGCAAAGUAACAUCUGGGAUUCGGUGAGAUCAUUGUACUAAAUGUUUUUUCUCUCUCUGAAUAUAAGAACUGCUGAGAUAAUACUUGUUGUAUUAAUAAAGUUAAACUUUGAUUAUAGGA